rnacentral:rRNA from 1 species
UACGUAGGGUGCAAGCGUUGUCCGGAAUUAUUGGGCGUAAAGAGCUCGUAGGCGGUCUGUCGCGUCUGCUGUGAAAACUCAGGGCUUAACCCUGAGCUUGCAGUGGGUACGGGCAGACUAGAGUGCGGUAGGGGAGACUGGAAUUCCUGGUGUAGCGGUGAAAUGCGCAGAUAUCGAGGAGGAACACCGGUGGCGAAGGCGGGUCUCUGGGCCGUAAACUGA